AUUCUGCUAGAUUGCUCAGAUUAUGUUGCAAUGACACGUUCUGUUAGCUAACAAGGCAACUUGAGGAUUCUUCUGAGCCUAUGCAAUCCAUGCUCGGUAACUGAAGAGCUGAUUGAUGGAUUUAGAGAUGGAGAAUUAUUGUUCGUUUCUCUAGGUUUUCCCUUCUCUGUGCUGUUAUCUUUACCUUGUAAGUGUUUGAGAAAAAUUUCUUGUUCUGCUUUAUUCCUUUUUCCUCUGCUCAAAAUUCAGCUGCACUUAAAUUCUAUCUCGGUUUACUAUGGUUUUUGAGGGUUUAGAUCUUAUGGAACAGUUAUUACAAACUUUUCAACAAUAUGUUUGACAAGCUUGUUCAUAUAAAGGUAAGGUGGAUUACAGAUGAUGUGGAGAUUCCCUUUUUACAAUGAAAAGAAGGAAGUGACAACCCAGCAGAAGCAGGUGUCGUAAAAUGUAAGAAAGGGGAAUCAAAAGCUAUGAAACAGAAAUUCAAGACAUUAUACAUAUGAUUGUGGUGGUUAACUUUGUAAAAGGAUGCACCUCCUUUUGUCAUGAAACAAACUGAUGAAUGUAGGAAGCAAACUUUACACUGUUGGGAGUACAUAUUCAUGAUCUUUAAGAUAUAUUGUACAAAUUUGUUCCUCAAUGUAUCUAAUACUAUAUAGUAUGAAGCGUUGAUAUUGUGAACAUUUGAUUAGGUUGACAUUAUUAUUUCCGUUUUCAGUAAUGAUCCAUGUUGAUUAAAACAAAUAUGAAAUUAUUCUCAA